GAACAUUCGAGCAUUCUCCUUUUUCUUAGAGAUGGAUGAAGGUGAUUUUGCUUGUUCACUAAACGCACCAUUAAGAUUGCAGGCCUGGAGGUUCGGGGUGGGCCAUUUACAUGUGGUGCUAAGCAAACAGAGUAUUUGGUUCAUUUGGGGAACAAUGAUUUUUGUCAUAUCCGAACUGCCCAGAACGAUGAAAUUUAUUGUCGUCAAUAUCUUUGUAUAACCACGUUUCAAAUUGUUGUUGGAGAAGGAGGAAGUUGUAUCAAGACCUUAUAUUCAACUGUUUUUCAUGUGGAUGUUAGUCACUUUGGUACUUUCUACAUUACAUUCAGCUUCGCACCUGAGUGUGAUGAUUUUGAACCUGAAGAAGAGGAGAGUGUAGAAACAAGGUAAGUUACCAUCCUCACGUCACUCGUAAUUAAAUUACUUCUAGAUAUUUGAAAAAGAGAAAAAGAAAAAUAUUUGGGAGGAAGAAGCAUUUCUCGAUGCAUACCUGCAGCUGUGAUAUACCUAAAUGUUAUUUUUUUUGUUUACAUUGGAAAAACGAUUGUCCUUUAUUGGAUCAUGUAAAAUUUGUUGGUACAGUAUGCAUGAUUUGCUAUGAGAUUUUAUUGAACAUGAA